rnacentral:rRNA from 1 species
GAUGAACGCUGGCGGCGUGCCUAAUACAUGCAAGUCGAGCGAACAGAUGAGGAGCUUGCUCCUCUGACGUUAGCGGCGGACGGGUGAGUAACACGUGGAUAACCUACCUAUAAGACUGGGAUAACUUCGGGAAACCGGAGCUAAUACCGGAUAAUAUAUUGAACCGCAUGGUUCAAUAGUGAAAGACGGUUUUGCUGUCACUUAUAGAUGGAUCCGCGCCGCAUUAGCUAGUUGGUAAGGUACCGGCUUACCAAGGCAACGAUGCGUAGCCGACCUGAGAGGGUGAUCGGCCACACUGGAACUGAGACACGGUCCAGACUCCUACGGGAGGCAGCAGUAGGGAAUCUUCCGCAAUGGGCGAAAGCCUGACGGAGCAACGCCGCGUGAGUGAUGAAGGUCUUCGGAUCGUAAAACUCUGUUAUUGGGGAAGAACAAAUGUGUAAGUAACUAUGCACGUCUUGACGGUACCUAAUCAGAAAGCCACGGCUAACUACGUG